UGGGGGAUAUUGCACAAUGGGCGAAAGCCUGAUGCAGCGACGCCGCGUGGGGGAUGAAGGCUUUCGGGUUGUAAACCUCUUUCGCUAUCGAACAAGGCCCGCUUAGGGUGGGUUGAGGGUAGGUGGAGAAGAAGCGCCGGCUAACUACGUGCCAGCAGCCGCGGUAAUACGUAGGGCGCGAGCGUUGUCCGGAAUUAUUGGGCGUAAAGGGCUUGUAGGCGGCUUGUUGCGCCUGCUGUGAAAACGCGGGGCUUAACUUCGCGCGUGCAGUGGGUACGGGCAGGCUUGAGUGUGGUAGGGGUGACUGGAAUUCCAGGUAUAGCGGUGGAAUGCGCAGAUAUCUGGAGGAACACCGAUGGCGAAGGCAGGUCACUGGGCCAUUACUGACGCUGAGGAGCGAAAGCAUGGGUAGCGAACAGG
rnacentral:rRNA from 2 species